AGCUUUGUGCGGUGGCAGGAUCAUAGCCAAUGAGGGUUAUCCGAAGCACAAUUAUUGCUAAUUGAAAGAUCGUUUAGUCCAAUCCCUUCACUUACCAUAUGGAAAGAGAGGCACAGAGACUCAGUGACUUAUCUGAGGUUGCAAAUGUUCAGCUGCAGGUUUGACUG
ensembl:snRNA U4 U4 spliceosomal RNA